rnacentral:rRNA from 1 species
GUGUCAGCAGCCGCGGUAAUACGAAGGGGGCGAGCGUUGUUCGGAUUUACUGGGCGUAAAGGGCGCGCAGGCGGUCCUGUUUGUCGAGUGUGAAAGCCCCGGGCUCAACCUGGGAAUGGCGCUCGAAACGGCGGGACUAGAGAUCGGGAGAGGAGCGUGGAAUUCCCAGUGUAGAGGUGAAAUUCGUAGAUAUUGGGAAGAACACCGGUGGCGAAGGCGGCGCUCUGGACCGAGACUGACGCUGAGGCGCGAAAGCGUGGGGAGCAAACAGGAUUAGAUACCCCGGUAGUCC